CCUAUGGGUGGCAGCAGUGAGGAAUAUUGGUCAAUGGGCGCGAGCCUGAACCAGCCAAGUAGCGUGAAGGAUGACUGCCCUACGGGUUGUGACCUUCUUUUAUAAAGGAAUAAAGUGAGGCACGUGUGCCUUUUUGUCUGUACUUUAUGAAUAAGGAUCGGCUAACUCCGUGCCAGCAGUCUCGGUAAUACGGAGGGUCCGAGCGUUAUCCGGAUUUAUUGGGUUUAAAGGGAGCGUAGAUGGGUUGUUAAGUCAGUUGUGAAAGUUUGCGGCUCAACCGUAAAAUUUCAAUUGAUACUGGCAGCCUUGAGUACAGUUGAGGUAGGCGGAAUUCGGGGUGUAGCGGUGAAAUGCUUAGAUAUCACGAAGAACUCCGAUUGCGAAGGCAGCUUACUAAACUGCCACUGACAUUGAUGCUCGAAAGUGUGGGUAGCAAACAGGAUUAGAUACCCCUGUAGUC
rnacentral:rRNA from 1 species